rnacentral:lncRNA from 1 species
GGUUGAGAACAGCAGCACUGGCUUAGUGGGGAAAAGCACUUGCUGUCAAGCCCGACAACCUGAAUUAAAUCCACUCAUACACAUUAAAAAUGUAACUACAAAAUAAUUUAAAAACAAAAGAAGUCCAUAAGUGGCUCUUGACCCAUCCACCAAGUGUGGAUACAGGAAGAAAGCACCCAGUGUGAGCCAGAAAGCAGUCCUCCCCCUACCAGACCUACUGCCACUUGGGUUUUUGAGUUCCUAGCCCGGAGAACUGUGGGGGUAACUGUUGUUUGUAAGCUGCCAGCUAUGAGGUUUUUGUUUGUCUAUUUGUUUUUUUAUGGCAGCCAGAAGAGAUUGAAGCAGUAAGGAUGGAAGAUGGUAGAAGUUACCUCCUGUGUGCUCCUAGCAGCGCUCAGGAAUUCAGAAUGUGUUCGGUAAACACUGAGACUCUAAAAGACUGAGAGAGGAGGUCCAGGUGAGUGUGGAGGGUGGGGACAUUCACCACCGAGUAUUGCUGCUUCUUAGGACAAGGACACCCAAAUGUGAUUAAUCGGCUGGCAUUCAGGAAAGAGCUUCUCAUUUUACAAGCUUGUAUUGAAACCCAGAAGCAAACUUUUGCACCAAAAUUAUGUCACUAGUCACAAAUUAAACGACUGCCCCAAAGUGCAAAGUUUUUGAAGUCUGUAGUGUGCCCCUCCUGAGAACAAGCAGAAACAGAGUGAUCAUGUUCCAAGAAUCUAUAUGAGCCACAAAUAACAUCAUUCCCUUUUUUUCCUCUGGAUAUGGGAAAUCAAAAGCCAUCGUGCUCACUGAUUUUUAUUGAUACUAGCUCAGAAAUGGCAGGGUAAUAACUCACAGCGAGGGUGGCCACUAGGUGCAAUCAUCCUUUCCUUCAUUGUGGACUUGGAGGAUACAAUUUUAUUAUCUCUAGGACUUUGAAGAAAUGAGAAAACUCCAUUAUGCAUUUCUUGAAGCCUUCUCCAUUUAAGUGUGAGCUGAACUUCAUCUGAUCCAGUGUUGGUCACCUCACUGGUGGAACAGAACACCAUCUGCCUCAGAUUUUCCCAAAGGGAGGUGCAGAAUGUGCUUUUUUUGGACUCUGAAGUUGUCAUACCUUUCCUGUGGAAGUCAGAAGAGGGCAUCGAAGACCAUGGAACCAGGGAUCUGGAGUUACAGAAGAUUCCAAGCCGUCUGUGGGUGCUGAGAACUGAUCCCAAUCCUUUGCAAGACCAACAAGUGCUAUUAACUGAUGAGCCAUCCUCUCCAGCCUUAACAACUCACAUAGUUUUGUUAUGUCCAAAAAUUUCAACCCGUGAGCUGUGGGCUGUGGUUUUAAGCAGCUGCUCAGUGUUGUAAAUCUUUACUCAUUACUCAGCCUGUCCUGGGGUGUACGGGUGGCGUGGUGGUCAGUGUCUGAUCUGAAUGGUUGAAUGUUUUUUGAUUACUCUAGUCGUACACAGAUCUAGGUGUGCAUAGCUCAGUGGUGAACUUAGGUGGAAAGACCACCUCCUUGGCCUCUCCAGUACUUUCCAAGUCCCUAUUAUUCCCCAUUUUGGUUCUCUUGCCAUCAAGUGAAAUAGUUACCGAGCUGUGCUGUACACUCCUGUAACUGCUUGCAUUCAGAACCAAGCAGCAAAAGACUAGAGAGAAGAGCAGCAUGGGCUUGUGGCAGCCUCUCCGUAUUUCUUCUCAGAGGCUCCAUGGUGGCCUCUGGCACCAUCCAGCUGCUUGGAAGCUGGAGCAUAAGGUAACAGAGAGAAACCCUGGGGAUUUGUGCACUUUCUCUGAGCUGCUGUCAGGAGCUUGAGGGGCUUCACUGGGAGCCGGGAUGGUUAAUACUGACUAUUCAGUUGCCAAUGACUAGAAACACGAGGGAGGAGACAAACCUAGGAACUCUGUGAAAGAGUUGAAGUGUAUUACUUGAGUAAGAAGACCCUUCCUAAAUGUGGGAGGUGCUGGUCCAUUGUCUGGAGGCCAGGAAGACAGUGGAGCCCACACGAAAAUUCAUUCCUCUCCGCUUCCUGGCUGAGGAUGCCAUGUGACCAGUUACCCUCCCUUCCCCCUGCUGCCAUGCCUUUCCUGCCCUGACAGACUGUACCCUCAAACUAUGAGCCAAAAUAAACCUUACCUUCCUCAA